UACGAAGGGGGCUAGCGUUGCUCGGAAUCACUGGGCGUAAAGGGUGCGUAGGCGGGACUUUAAGUCAGGGGUGAAAUCCUGGAGCUCAACUCCAGAACUGCCUUUGAUACUGAGGAUCUUGAGUUCGGGAGAGGUGAGUGGAACUGCGAGUGUAGAGGUGAAAUUCGUAGAUAUUCGCAAGAACACCAGUGGCGAAGGCGGCUCACUGGCCCGAUACUGACGCUGAGGCGCGAAAGCCAGGGGAGCGAACGGG
rnacentral:rRNA from 1 species